AUCAGUGAAGGGUAAUAAAACUAUUGGGAAGGUUAUAGUUUUACGUUGUUAUUGAGACAGAUUGGUUACGGUUAUGGUUUAGGAUGAUGGUGAUGAAGAUGAUGAUGAUGAAGGUGAGAGAGGAGGGGCAGAAUGAACUGGACACAAAAAAAUCCAUUCACUCAUUUUUAGAGAGGUGUAGAAGCUGAUCAGUAAAUAAAUGCAUUAUAACAUGAAUCAAACCGGAUGCACAUCUGGAUCUGUGUGUGUGAGUGUGUGUGUGUGUGUGUGUGUGUGUGUGUGUGCCGCACUCAAGCCCACAUUUAGUUUUUUUCCCUCCCGGAUAAAAGAAAAACGCGUCGUGUUCCUUCAUCGCAUCAGAUGAAAGGAGUCCGAUCUGCGCAGAGGAUUUAAACAGCUGGAUUUCUGUCUCCAUGUCUCUGUCUCUCCUCAUCAUCACCAUUUCAUCACCUUCACACAUCACCUCCACCUGCGUUUCACAUGCAAAUAAACCGGGUCACGGGGAACCUGGAUCCUAUCCCAGGGAGCACGGGGCAUGAGGCGGGGUACACCCUGGACGGGGUACCAAUCCAUCACAGGGCACAAUCAUAUACACACACACUCACACACACUACGGAUACUUUGGACAUGCCUAUCUUUGGACUGGGGAGGAAAUUGGAGUACCCGGAGGAAACCCCUGCAGCACGGGGAAAACAUGCAAACCCCCAACCCUGGAGGUGUGAGGUGAUAUUAUUAUUAUUAUUAUUAUUAUUAUUAUUAUUAUUAUUAUUAUUAUUGUUAUUAUUAAAAUUUUACAAGCUUUAUGAUUUUUUAUUG